UCUCUCUCUCUCUCUCUCUCUCUCUCUCUCUCUCUCUCUCUCUCUCUCUCUCUCUCUCGGCUGGCUAGAAGUGACCCGGCUAUCGCUCAGACUUAAGGGGCUGCCUGGAGGUGAUGAAUAAUGCCCUGCCACCUGCUACCCAGCUCAGCACCCCAUUCCCUCCAGCUGGCCACAUUGGGCUGAUUCUGACAGCCUGGCAGACAGUGAGGUUGGGGGUGACCUGGUGGCUUCCCCUCAGCCCUUAAGGACAGAUGUCCGCGAGGUGGAGGGUGGCCCCCAUCGCUGGCACUUCUGGGAGGCGCCCAGCAGACCGGGCGCCCUGGGUGGGCGGCUCCCGCGCGCGCACUUGGUUGAGCCAGGACGGCUGCCGCCUCAGACCAGCGCCACGGCCAAGGUCCAGCUGGCGGGGCGGGCUUCGUCGCCCUGCGAGGAUGCUCUCUAGACUUGAGAGAGAAGGGAAAGAAAAGGCCCCGAGGAAAGGAACCUUCGGGAUUUUGUGUGUCUGUGCGUCUGUGAUUUAAUGGAGGCAACCAGUUCUCGGAGAAGACUGGGUGAGCCGAGGCAACGCGCGCGGGAGCGCACAAGUCAAAACGGGGCCAACUAAGGCGUGUGGGGGAGUCCUGGGGACUGCCACCUGGUUAACACCAACCAGGGCACAAAACAGCCCCCCGGGUGGGGAGAGAUGCUCACCUUGCUUAUCUGUUGGCAAGAAGCAAAUACAAAAGAUAACAUAACGUGAUAUGGCUUACAACGGUGGCUCUUUCAUCAGCCAAUUUCACCUUCCCGCAACACGCGUGCGAACCUUUGGAACUUUCAUUUGCGGCAUUUUGGCGCCCCCUGGCCGUGUUUGGAUUGCUCUCGUGCUCGCCUGUAUCCCAGCAAAGAAAAGGACUGAGUUGCAGGUUUCCCUCCCGGGUGGAUCUGCCCUCCUGACCUGGGCCUCCAUUCGAUCAGGGGCAAGGUUGUCCUCCAAAAUCGGGAUGACAAAACGCAUAUUGAGGGGGACCGACGCCAAAGGCAAGUGCAUCCGCAUUCAACCUGGAAGAGAUGUGUUUGCACCCAGAGGAAAGACCAGGUGAAGAGACAGUGAAAAGGUGACCUUCUACUAGCCAAGGAGAGACACUUCAGAAGAAAGCAAACCUGCCAACAUCUUGAUCUUGGAGUUCCAGCCUCUAGAACUGUGCCAAUCUCAAAAACACGCCCUAAUAAACAUCCUUCAUUUAAUCUCCAUUGCAGAGUCUGAAAAGGUAAAACUCCAGGAAUCAGGUCUGACAGUGCAACAUUGGUUUAUAGGAAAUGUGCCAUUUGCCAGGUAUUGAACGGGAGAGGGGAAAGAGCUUAUGCUAAGUCAUAUGGACUGGGAAUUGAAUCCUCACCUUAUAUUUCCUCAGGGGAAGUUUAUAAAAUUCUUUGACUACAGAACUAUUUUGUGCUUGGUAUUUCUCUUAGAGCUCAAGGUAGGAUAACAACUCUGAUUUGCACAGGUCUGGGGCAGGGUGGGUUCUGGUAGGGAUGACUUUUAGGACUAUAACUGGGACAGCUCUGCUCAAACCAGGGUAUUGGUCAAGGUCAGUAACUUUGGGGAUGCUUGGAAUUGAGAAACAAGGUUUGUUGACCCCCUGGAGAGAGAGAGAAUGGCUGGAUUCUGCUACUCCCAUCCCUGCUACCCCAUUCAUUGCCAAUUACUAUGUAUGGGCUGGGCUUUAGUCCAGCGUCCAUAGACUAGGAUGUGGUGGGCCCGUACUUGCCCUGUUGUGUAAUACUGAUGAGUUGAUAUAAGAAGGAAACCCAUGCUUUUCUGCCAGAGAAACUGAAGCUUAAGAAAUCUCUGACAUACCUAAAGUUCCUAAAAAGGAAUGCUAGAGCCAGAAUCAAUAUUAAAUCAGAAGCAUCCCUUAAUUCCCUAGUUAACUUCUAUUAUGAUGACUGAAAUAUGUAGAAGAAAGCAAAAGACUAACUUAGGUAACAACUCUGUCUCAAACCACUCAGACCUCCAUACCCUGACUGCUAUACCCUGAUUAGCUUUGGAAAGUGUCUCACUGUACACUGGCAUGACUUGACAGGCUGAGCCCCAAGACUGAUUCCACAGCAGUCCCCCACACUCGUGUACAUUUCAUGUUGUCAGGUCUGGAAUAUCAAGUUAGAAUACAUGUGCAGCCAGGGUGUCC